GUAGAGCUUUUUUAGCAGUCUAAUACUUAGGCCUAAACCUUAACUUACGUUUUACUACAAAAACAAACUUUUAGUUAGUUUUAACUUACAUUUACUUAUUUAUUGGUUACAACAAAAACAAACUUUUAGUUCGUUUUAUCCUUAACUAAAGUUCAAAUUGUUUAUCAUUUUUCACUUCAAUUCAAUUCACUGGCCCAAGAAGAUUCAUUUUACCCAGAAAGAUAAAAUUAUCGCAUUAUGCGUGCUACUUUGUUCGUUAAAUCAUAAAACUAAGUACUUAUAUGAAAUAGCAAAAAUACUCGUAUUAAAAAGAGUUGGACACCGAUUUUAACAACGCAUCAAAAAUCUACGUCGUACUAAGUACAUGAAUACACUAUUUUUGUACCUCGUCUCGAGUCAAAUAAUAUCUACUAUUAAUAUUUUCAUUAGUUAAAUUUUAAAAGAAGUGACAGCUUUUUUAAUAAAACCAAUUCGAUUUUCAAUACGAUACGAUUCACAAAUUAAUAGUAGAAUUUUAUAUUAAGCGCCUGUCCAUUACUACCUACUUGAUGCUGUGAUUAAAAAAAAACUAAUUGUUUUGAUAUCGCGCACGUUGGUGGCGGCACCGUCGCUGCAGUAUCUACACAGCCCAGACAUAUUGAUUUUUUCAAAUUCGCGCAAGUGCAGGCUGCAGGCAGACCCCUACGGCCAGGCUCUCACCUCUUCAGCGCUACGGCCAGUUGCUACGUCCUUCAAGAAGAUUCUUCAGCAGCUCAGGUCAUGGGCGACGAUCAGCUAGCAAAAUACCUCGAUAACCUCAGGAGCAGUGACGACAGAUGCAGGCCGUGCAGUGGAUUAUAUUUCUUCUUAGGCCAAAUAAUACCCGUUGAGAUCGUGGAGCUCGUGACUUUCUCAGUGAGCUACCUGCUGAUAGCAUUCGCUUUCUAUAUGGUGUGCAACGGGCGCAUGUUUUUCUGAGGGCAAGAGCGCGCACGGUGGGUGCUGUGCGACCGUAUUUGGUACCGUUGGAUAGAGCUCGUAAAGCACUUUCAGGAUCAGUAAUCAGUUUUUGGAUAUCUUUUAUAGUUAAGAAAUAAUGGAGUGAGAUCACUUAUCGUUUCCACCCUGUAUAAUAAUUGUU